UCAAUGGCCCCACUUGCCCAUUUUAUAAGAUUAAUUAACUUAACUUUCUCCCCAUCUCAAGAUUAUUAAUGGAUAAUGUGGACACUUUUGUCUCCUCCAACCCUCUUAGCUAUAAAUACUCAUCAAAUCACUUAUCAUUUCUUAUAUUUCUACCAAAGUUUAUCAUCUUUUUCCUGCUUUUUCAUUGAUUUUGUUUGAGAAGAAAGAAAAAAGAAAAUGUUGGCAAUUUUCAAGAAAAGUGUGGUUGAUCCUCCAAAGGAGCUGCAGAGCCCAGCCUCUUUGCAAUCAUCAAACAAGGUUGUUUCCCCUGAAGAGACUAUGAAGAAUUUCUUAGCUUCAAAUUCCAACAAUGGGUUUUCCAUUGGAUUCAUGGACAAGGCAUUCUUGGCCUAUUCCAAACCUCCACCCUCAUCAAAUGCUCAACAAAGGUUGUUCUGUGGGUUGAAUGACAUAUACUGCAUUUUCUUGGGAAGCUUGAACAACUUAUGGUUACUAAACAAGCAGUAUGGUCUGUCAAAGGGUACCAAUGAGGCCAUGCUUGUGAGUGAAGCAUAUCGUACCCUUCGCGAUAGAGGCCCAUUCCCAGCUCAUGAGGUCCUUAAGGGACUUGAGGGUAGCUUUGGCUUUGUGAUCUAUGAUCACAAGGCUGGUAAUGUCUUUGUUGCCCUUGGUGCUGAUGAAACUGCAAAGCUGUUCUGGGGAAUAGCAUCUGAUGGAUCUGUCAUGAUCUCUGAUAAUGUGGAUCAUAUCAAAGGAAGCUGUCUCAAAUCAUUUGCUCCCUUCCCAACUGGGUGUAUGUACCACAGUGAAAGUGGAUUGAAGAGCUUUGAGCAUCCAAGUUAUAAGAUGAAAGCAAUGCCAAGAGUGGAUAGUGAAGGAGCCAUGUGUGGAGCUUGCUUCAAAGUUGAUGUCUACUCCAAGGUGAAUAGCAUGCCAAGAGUUGGAAGUUCUGCCAACUGGGCUAAUUGGGGCCAGCAGGCUUAGAUUCAUUUGGACCUCAUUUUAACUAACUACAAAUAUAAAGAAGAAAGGAAAAAACUUACAAAGGAGGAUGCACAGAGAGCUGAACAGGUCAUCUCAUCUAUGUCACCAGAUGAGUUGGAAAGAAUGGUGAGAUGGGCAGCAAGGAUUCAAACAGGAAUAGAAGUUCUCAAGAUCACCAAAGAUUUUGUCAUGACAAAUCCUGGCAUGAGCUUGGCAAUUUUUGUGCCCAUUUUAGCAGUCUUCCUUCACCUGUUUGGCUACAUCUGAGAUUUUUCCUGUUCUUUUAUAUUUUCUUGGCAUGUAAGGAAAAUUCAUUUUAUUUUUUCUUAUCAGUAAAUAAAAUUCUAUACAAAACAGCACUAAGAUAGUGCUGGAUAUGUACAAUUUAGCAUUACAAGAAACUCACACUCCUUAAUUAUUCUUGCUAGGACUUAAAAGAGAUCCAUUUCAGCAUCAUAAACAAUAUACUUUCUACAGCAAAAAGCUAACAAAGGAAUAGCUCUGAAUUUAAGCUGUGAUCAUGUCUAGAUCUCUUUUGAAUUGUUGCCAAGGAUCUAUCAUUGUGUCAAGAAAUAGCUCUCACCUUCAUUUGACUAACAGAACUGUUGGUUCAAUUAUAAACUCAUUGGAUAAGGAACCAAGAUG